rnacentral:rRNA from 1 species
UACAGAGGGUGCAAGCGUUAAUCGGAAUUACUGGGCGUAAAGCGUGCGUAGACGGUUAAGUAAGUCGGAUGUGAAAGCCCCGGGCUCAACCCGGGAAUUGCAUUCGAGACUGCGUAGCUAGGGUGCGGAAGAGGGAAGCGGAAUUUCCGGUGUAGCGGUGAAAUUCGUAGAUAUUCGCAAGAACACCAGUGGCGAAGGCGGCUUACUGGUCCGGUUCUGACGCUGAGGCGCGAAAGCGUGGGGAGCAAACAGG